CUACGGGCGGCUGCAGUGGGGAAUAUUGCACAAUGGGGGAAACCCUGAUGCAGCAACGCCGCGUGAAGGAUGACGGUUUUCGGAUUGUAAACUUCUGUUCUUAGUGAAGAAAAAAAUGACGGUAACUAAGCAGCAAGCCACGGCUAACUACGUGCCAGCAGCCGCGGUAAUACGUAGGUGGCAAGCGUUAUCCGGAUUUACUGGGUGUAAAGGGAGCGCAGGCGGGACUUCAAGUUGGAUGUGAAAUGCUGGGGCUUAACCCCGGACCUGCAUCCAAAACUGUAGUUCUUGAGUGAAGUAGAGGCAAGUGGAAUUCCGAGUGUAGCGGUGAAAUGCGUAGAUAUUCGGAGGAACACCAGUGGCGAAGGCGACUUGCUGGGCUUUAACUGACGCUGAGGCUCGAAAGUGUGGGGAGCAAACAGGAUUAGAUACCCCUGUAGUC
rnacentral:rRNA from 1 species